CUUUAUGCCUUGAUUGUACCAUACCUAUUUGGUGAGUUAAAUUGUUCACUCUCAGAAGAAUUGUUGCAAAAUGCCUCUUAUGUGUUUGCUUUAACUUCCGAAACUAUCUACGCCUUAAGAUACCUUUGUACUGUUUUGCAUUUACCAGUAUAAGUCUUUCAUCUGCGUUGCUUGCUUGCUUUUGUGAAAAAUCUGUCAUGACAGAUUCCCAGGACCCUGUUAAAUCCUCAAAACUAGCCAAUUUUUUUUGCCUUGUUUAUCUUCCAUGCCGUCAUCUUUGCCUGAUAUGUCUACUUCUGCUUGGAACAAAUUUGACUUGAUGUUCUCCUUAAUUUCUGCUUGUACUUGAACCCCCUCCAUUUCGUUCCCUUUAUGCCUUGAUUGUACCAUACCUAUUUGGUGAGUUAAAUUGUUCACUCUCGGAAGAAUUGUUGCAAAAUGCCUCUUAUGUGUUUGCUUUAACUUCCGAAACUAUCUACACCUUAAGAUACCUUUGUACUGUCUUGCAUUUACCAGUAUAAGUCUUUCAUCUGCAUUGCUUGCUUGCUUUUGUAAAAAAUCUGUCAUGACAGAUUCCCAGGACCCUGUUAAAUCCUCAAAACUAGCCAAAGGUUGAGAUGCUACAUGUCGAGUUGCAGAGUGUUUCCAUCCUUUUUUGACUUUAAUAGGAUUUGAAUAAAUGUAAAUUCACCGGAGGUCAGGGUUGUCAUAUGGUUUCUGUGUUUGCGAGAUGUUUCUUUCACUUUGGCUGUAACCUAGCUGGUAAUGGCAUCAAUUUAUUCAAAGAAAAUUAGUAGAGAAAGAAAUGAGUGAAAAAUUUCCAUUCACAGCAAUGGAUAUAUUUACUUUCCUCAUAAAGAAAAUUAUAUUUUAGCGUGCUGUUUUAGUAACAAUUGAUCUUUAUGUUGAAGUUGGACUGUAAUGGUGAUUUACAUAUUAUUUGCAGAGUCCUGCCGAGCUUUUACUGAGAUUUAUUGCCUUCUCUGAGGCUGAUUUACACACUCUUGAGGUUUCUAUGUGCCUGGAGAGGACUCUUGAUGCUCCCGAGAUUGUCGAUGAUUAUUACUUGAACCUCAUAGAUUGGGGUGCACUUGGAAUACAGGGGAGACACAUUGCAGUUUCUGGAGUACUAUACCUAGCGCAAUAAUUACAGUUGCACAUUUACUUACCCUGUUUUUAGUGAACCUGUGUCUUCCAGAAGCUUUCCAAGUCUAGCUUUUUUGUUUGUUUAUUGUUGAAAAGUAACAAGCUCUAUAUUUCUCAGAGUUCAGAUGGGUACACAGUGGCUUCUGCAGCAGGAAAUGAAACCCUCAGAUUUUGGCAAGUAUUCGGAGCACAGUGGCUCCAGACACUCCAAAGAAUACUAGACCCGGUACAGAUAUUGCAGGGGAAGCUUUUAAAAACUAUCUUAGUCACAUUCGUUGAAGAAAAUGGGAGACUUAACAUAUCCUUCAGGGUAUCAGGUGCGCACCAAAUUUGUAUAUUUUCUUAUUUUUUUGUUCAUAUUGUUUUCUCUUCUAAGCACUGACUGUCAAUAUCUAUUGAUGUCUGCCACAAUAAUACAUUCCCUGGCGUUUAUAAACACCGCCAGUUUAUUGGCAAUUGAUUAGCUCAACAGCAUUCUGCGACUGGUGAUCAGGAUGGUAAAAAUUGAUGAAUGAUAUUACCCUGUUUUUAAUGAACCUGAGCUUUCCAAUCUAUUGGAACUUUUACAAAAAACUGUUGUACAUUUCUGAUCAUUCUCAGAGGUUUUCAUGAUA